CCUGAGCCAAAGGCAGACGCUCAACCGCUGUGCCACCCAGGCGCCCCUCACCAUUACACAUUCUUGAUGGAUGGUAUGACAACCACUCUAGCUACUUCCUGCUGGAAAGGGGCAUAGAUUAGGAUUCCAGGAAUGAAACUGCCUUGCAUCCAGUUUUAGAUAUUCCCUGGUACGAGGCUGAACCCCCAUCCUUCAUAGAGCCAUUGUUUCAGAACUCUCAUGUGAAGUCUUGGACAGCAUCUCAUUUCACACUUUGUAACAAGGUCACUUCAGCUAAAAAGCUGUCUCAUUUCAGGAGGUGGGCCAACAGGUGGGCUCUCAAAGUCAGGCCUAUAGGUAGAAAAUUAGCCAGAUAUGCAAGGAAACCAGAAGAAUUCAGGAUCCAGCCCAGUUUUAUAGGUGAACAAGAAACAGUCAAGGACAAUUAAUCAGAAUUAGAAUCUAACACCCAUAAAAUUAUUGAAACACAAUUUUUUUUCUGUCUCUAAAGUCACCCUCGUUUCCAUCAAAGAUAGCCAAACUAAGACUAAUCUGUUUGUGAAACAAGUCCAGUUUUAACAAACUUGGCCUAAUUAUUUACAUAAGUACGCAAGAAUAGCGCCUGGCCAUAUAGGUUCUUUUAAAUCAGCUUUGCUGGAACUUUCCACAAGGAAUUUCAGAUUAAGCAUUUAACAGCCUUCUGAGGCUAAGAACCAAGCAAAAAUACUUGCCAUCAGACUUGCCUGGGAUCUAUAUAUUUGGGUUACUUCUUUUCUUCUCCAGGUCUCCAAAACAUUCUGAGAUUCCUGAGCCCGCCAGGAAGUGACCUUCUUUACCCACCUGGUCUGAACAAAGGAUGUUCAGGUGGCUGCAUCACCCCGGAGGUCCAAGGUCGUGGGAUGACUGAGUUCAGUCACCAGGGCCCAAGUGGGAUAGUCCUCGUGGAGCACCCAAGGUGACCAGUCGUCUACAGUAAGUAAGCACCAGCAGUGAAUGAGAGUUCCUGUUGCUCCACAUGUUCUCCAG